UGUCGUCUAGUUAGAGGUAGCGGCGGGCUGGCGUGCGGGCUAGGUGGGGAUGCGGGUUAGGUGCCGCCUAGGUAGAGACACGGCGCGGCUAGGUAGGGAGAUGGCGCUGGCUAGCUUUGGAAGUGGCAGCGUCUUCCGGCGGCGGGAGGUGAAGUACUCGGCCUCGCUAGCGCAACUCCUAGACAGCCGGAGUGUGCAGUCUCGGCGGCGGGAGCGUGCUCCCUAGGCCGCUGCCACGCGAAGUCCUCCUGCAGUUAGGGGGUCUAGGCUGCGACAAGGGCAACUCCCGUACGGCGGCUAGUGCAGGUCCAAGGGGGCGGCUAGCGGAGCCACGGCGGGCAGCCACGCCGCCUGGGCCGCCGUCGACUGCCCACACCUCCCUCCAACCCAUCUAGGUCACGUACGACUUGACGACUACUUGGCCGAGAUCGCGAGUUAGGGAUGGUUCCCGGUCGCACCAGAGAUCUUCUCCAAACCAGGGUCGGACCAACCACUAAGGGUCCCAACGGCCAGAAGUAGAGAGGACAGGUUACUAAGAAAAUGAUAAUGUCAACUUCCGCAGACACUAACCACACGUUCCGUCUGAACUCCCUGCUGGUUAUCUUGUAGGAACUCUUCUGCUACCGUGGGUAGUACAUUAACAAGGUACCCUAACACUGGACGUAACUCUAAAGUCACGAGACACGAAGCGGUCUGACUCUAGUUUUUCUGGGGGUAACAUAGUUAAAUGUAAGCAUUGUGAAAUAAUACAGUUAAACAACUAACAAGUAUUACUGUGACCUAUAAGAUUGUCAACGAGUCGGAGUGCAUUAUAAGGUUGUUAC
rnacentral:rRNA from 1 species